CUGCCCUCAAGCGCGGCUUGUGUGUUGGGCGUGGUCCCCCCGGGGACCUGCCCGAAAGGCAGCGGCGACGUCCGUUGGGUCCUCGAGCGUAUGGGGCUUUGUCACUCGCUCGGGAAGGACCUGCGGGGGUUGGUCACCACUAUAUAUUUUCCAU
rnacentral:misc_RNA from 1 species